rnacentral:rRNA from 1 species
UACGGAGGGUGCGAGCGUUGUCCGGAAUCAUUGGGCGUAAAGGGUGCGUAGGCGGGUUUUUAAGUCAGAGGUGAAAUCCUGGAGCUCAACUCCAGAACUGCCUUUGAUACUGAAAGUCUUGAGUAUGGGAGAGGUGAGUGGAACUGCGAGUGUAGAGGUGAAAUUCGUAGAUAUUCGCAAGAACACCAGUGGCGAAGGCGGCUCACUGGCCCAUAACUGACGCUGAGGCACGAAAGCGUGGGGAGCAAACAGG